UUUCCUCAUUCCCUUCGAUUUAUCUUCUUUUUUUUGGGUCAAUUUUUUUAUUUUUGAACCAGGGAUUCAAAGAUGGGAUGUCUCGAAUUUGAAUCUAGGAUUUGAAACGUUGAGGCAUUCUUCAGGUAUUUCUGUAUUCUCGAGAGGUUUGAAGCUGGGUUUGCAGGCUUGGUGUUCUUCAAAUGUUCUGCCAUUCGGGGUUCUUUAGUGGAAAAAACUAAAUGACCAUUGGGUGCUAACUGAUGUCAGUGAUGUUCCUGUUCAAAUGGAGUCGAAGAUGACAGACUGAUGAAUGUCAUAAAUGAGUCUGUCAAGUUUGUGAUGGAACAGGUAGGUUAUAAUUUCUACAAGGAAAAAGAAAAAAGCAAUUUUAGAAGAUUUCUGUGGAAAAACUAUUACAAUUCUGCUGUUCUGUUUCCAAACUUCUCCUUGUUCUGGUGGUAGAAUAAGUUGGGGGCACUGUUAAAUAAUUUGGUACACUUAUAGUAAUGGAGGAAUUUCUCCUUUCUAAUCACUUAUUUGCUGCAGGCUUAUGAUUAUAUAUCACCAGUUUUGUACUUCUCUGUUUGGUAGAGUUGAAUAUUAUGCUCAGCUAGCUUGAUAACUCUGAGACCACCUUUUGCCAUUUGCCUAGGUUAUUUUCUAAAGUUGAAGUUUUUAACCUGAAUUCACCCAAAUCUUGAUAGAUCCCUGUUACCAUUUGCCUAGGUUAUUUUCUAAAGGUGAAGUUUUAAACCUGAAUUCACCAAAUCUUGAUAGAUCCCUGUUCUUUUUCUUUGUUUCUAAAUUGUUAGUGUAACAUGAUGUGCUUCAAAAGCUUACCCUGGACUGAGUUUGAGCAGCAAUUAGUUCAGCUACCAUAUGUUCAUUGCGCAUGACAUGUAGUUAUAUCCCUUUUAUAACCUUGAAAACUUUACCAGUGUGACACAAUUGCUUGCAAUUUUUAAAUAUUUUGAAACUCUUUGUUUUUUAGAAGUGUACUUUGAAGCUGAGCUGGUACAAUUCAUAAUGCUUAGAUGUAUAGUACCCUGCCUGCAGUAUGGUGCCAUUUUCAGGCCUCAGAUUUGAACACGUCAGGGAUCCUUUGCCAUAUAUGAGGAUUCCUCAUAGUACCUCUUUUAUCAUCAAGUAUAUAUAUGUGAGCCUUUAUAUCUGCAGUCUCAACUUUUUGUGCUUUCUUCCUAGUACAUGGAUUUUUGAAACUGGGCAAAACAUUCCAUCAGAGAAAUAUGGGCACACUUAAUAUCAUAUUGAAAUUCAAACUCAGAGUGGUAUACUAUACUGUGAUGCAUUACUUUGAAGAUGUCAAAGAAAAAUAAAAACUCGGUCGCCAUCAGCGGGCAGCACGAAUGUCCUGAUGUCCUGAGUUAUUUUGAAUCUUCCAUCAACCGCAGAUAAUUGGUUGAACUUCAUUCUGGAAAAUGAUCUGGGAUAUGUUCUUGUUUGCACAAUUUGUUUCCUGGAAAGCUUCACUCACAGAUAUACUGAGAGUAAAUGUUGUCCUUAUUUGGUCAAGACUUUUGAUUCCAAUGAGCAUAUGCAUUACACCGGCUACCUUUAGGAUUUUUUGGAAGAACCUUUAUAUGCCCUUUCAGGAUCCACUGUGCCCAUUCGUGUUAGGUGGCGACGAGAAGCUUGGGCAUUCUGCGGGUGUUCUUCAUCUUGAUGAUGCCCAUCCUGAUAUCUUAGUGCCUCUGAAGGUAAUGAAUAUUCACAUGCAGGUAAAUUCUUAUCUGUAAAUACACUUUCCCACUUAAUUAGGAAAUGAGAAGUAGUCCAAAUUGAUGAAAUGAGAUUAUUCACAACCUUGUGAUGCCUUUUUUGGUUUUGCACAACCUGGCUAUCUAUAUGUACCAUUGCUGAUUUUCUGUAAGCAUCUCAUUGGAUUUUGACAUCACUCGUGGGAAAUUUUGUAAAUAUUCUCAGCUGAUAAUAUUCACACUUUUGUCCCUGCAUUUAAAGAUUAGAAUCUUUGAGCACGAGGCAGAGUGGCUCAUGAACGGUAUUCAAAUGAACACAGUCCUAUGCUUUGUGGAUAAGAUUUUACAAGCAUUUUCGGCUUUGGUGUGUCUAAUCUUGGCAUCAAGUAUGGUUAUCCCAACAAUCUGUCAGUCAUAAUAUUUAUAAUGAAAAGAGUAGCCAAAGUUGGCAAUGAGGAGGAGCCAAAGAUGGCAAUGAAUCGUUUUGGUCAUGUGAGGA